CACGUAGGGCGCGAGCGUUGUCCGGAAUUAUUGGGCGUAAAGAGCUCGUAGGCGGCCUGUUGCGUCCGCUGUGAAAGCCCCGGGGCUUAACCCCGGGUCGGCAGUGGAUACGGGCAGGCUAGAGGUAGGUAGGGGAGAAUGGAAUUCCCGGUGUAGCGGUGAAAUGCGCAGAUAGUCGGGAGGAACACCGGUGGCGAAGGCGGUUCUCUGGGCCUUACCUGACGCUGAGGAGCGAAAGUGUGGGGAGCGAACAGG
rnacentral:rRNA from 1 species